ensembl:lncRNA novel transcript
AAACAAAGCUCCUUAGAUGUCAGGAAAUUAACCUGGGAAAUCGGAGCCAAGAGAGAUUAAAGGCAUUGCAGGCCGAGUUCAAAAACCUCUAUGGCGUUACAUCAAAAGCUGUUUUCUGGGCACCCCAGGCUCGGCUCUGCCAAACCGUACAUCCCGAAAAACCUGGCCACAGGGCUGGCACGCCUGUGUGGUGUGCCUUUUCCCUGCCACAGACUGAAGCCUCACUCAGAUCUACAGCUUUUGACUCUUCCUGUCAUAGGAGUCUAAGCCCUGCCUGCCGUAGGCAAGUCUGCCCUGAGAAGAGCAGCUUGCUGCCCUGGAUUCCUUAUAAAGGAGGAAGAUCGCACACCUAACCUCAGAGGGGGUCCAAUGAGUGGCCCCAGGGAAAGGAAGAAAGUCCUUAAAAGGAGGAAGAGACCUGCUAGCUUCAGCUGCACUCAUACACACACAAAAAAAAAGAGAAAGAAAGGAAGAAAGGAAGAGAAAGAAAGAAAGAAAGGAAGAGAAAGAAAGACAGAAAGAAAGAAAGAAAGAAAGAAAGAAAGAAAGAAAGAAAGAAGGAAAGAAG